rnacentral:rRNA from 1 species
UGGGGAAUAUUGCACAAUGGGCGCAAGCCUGAUGCAGCCAUGCCGCGUGUAUGAAGAAGGCCUUCGGGUUGUAAAGCACUUUCAGCGGGGAGGAAGGCGUUAAGGUUAAUAACCUUGGCGAUUGACGUUACCCGCAGAAGAAGCACCGGCUAACUCCGUGCCAGCAGCCGCGGUAAUACGGAGGGUGCAAGCGUUAAUCGGAAUUACUGGGCGUAAAGCGCACGCAGGCGGUCUGUCAAGUCGGAUGUGAAAUCCCCGGGCUCAACCUGGGAACUGCAUUCGAAACUGGCAGGCUAGAGUCUUGUAGAGGGGGGUAGAAUUCCAGGUGUAGCGGUGAAAUGCGUAGAGAUCUGGAGGAAUACCGGUGGCGAAGGCGGCCCCCUGGACAAAGACUGACGCUCAGGUGCGAAAGCGUGGGGAGCAAACAGG